CUGGUAACGUGAUGAAUGAACUAAAUCACCAUCUUUCGGCUGAUUCGUGAUGCACAUGUUCUGUCUGAGCUACCAG